rnacentral:rRNA from 1 species
UACGGGGGGGGCAAGCGUUGUUCGGAAUUACUGGGCGUAAAGGGCCCGUAGGCGGCCAACUAAGUCCGACGUGAAAUCCCAAGGCUUAACCUUGGAACUGCGUCGGAUACUGGAUGGCUUGAAUUCGGGAGAGGGAUGCAGAAUUCCAGGUGUAGCGGUGAAAUGCGUAGAUAUCUGGAGGAAUACCGGUGGCGAAGGCGGCAUCCUGGACCGACAUUGACGCUGAACGGCAAAAGCUAGGGGAGCAAACGGG